GGGGAGGGGAGGGGAGAGGGAGGGAGCGAGAGAGGAUGAUGGGACAGGUGUGGAAUUUACACACCCUGCUGGUAGCGCGCACUAUUGGCAUAUUUGCUUCAGCGUGAUGAGUCACCCUUCUUCUAAUGGAAGUGAGAGAAAAUGUGUGUUUCUGAGUGAGAGGGAGGCACAAACUGAAAUAUAAAGGAAUAAAUUGUCUGCAGGAUAUAUCAUUGUUUCAGUCAGGAACAGCCCGGGAUUUUUGUUUUAAGUUUUGAGUUAUUUUAUUAGUGUUUAGGAUUACAAAGCUUUGUGGAAUUUACAUGCAUAAUAAACACAACAAAGAAAAAAGGAAGCAACCUGGGUACCAAACCAAUUCCUCCUAAUCCUGUAGGAGAUAUACAUGGAUAAAAUGAAUGUGACAGAGCGAACAUGACCACAACUUCAACACACAGUCAAGUAGUCCCCAAGUCUCCUCAUCCAAUUUGACGCAUUACAUUAAUGCACAUUUUUGCAAAUCUCUAGGUUUUAAUUUUCGCUCAUUGCACAUAUUCUUUUUAUCUUUAUACUGUGAACAUUUCUACAUUCUUUAGUCAAUAUUUUGCACAUUCCCUCCCCUUCAUUUUAAACACUGUACAGCUCUUCAUUUUACAUAUUUUAAUUGUAAAUUUCUACUGUUACAGUAAAUGUUUUCUUUUUUCUUACUUUGUUUAUUUUGACUGUUAUGCACCACAACACCAAGGUAAAUUCUUUUUAUGUGAAAAUCUACUUGGCAGUAAACCUAAUUCUGUUUCUGAUUGAACAAUUAAAACAAAGAAAUAUGUUUCUUUUUUUCUGAUUUCUGUUUCUGUUAUUUAUCUCAAACUGAGAGCUACAAUGAAACAAGAUGAAUUAAAACUCUUACUAAAUCAUUAUAUCCCAAGGUAAGUAGUGGGUGUUGAAUUAAGGAUUUAGUAUUGCAUCCAUGAACUUAAAGUAUUGUGCAGUGAGAGUUGAAAAAGGCCCAAAAAGGCCUUAUUCAUGACCUCUAUGUUCAUUUCAAACUAUCCAAAAAGCAUGGAACAGUAUGUAAUGUCAAAGAUAUGCUGUAUGUAGCUUAUGACAUAAAAACAAAAUGAUAAAAUAGAAUUUAAAGUAUUCUUUAACAUGUUCAGUUUGACUUUAAUGGAUAAGUCUGGUGCUGUUCUACAUGUUUUUUAUUGUCAACAAAUCCCAUGUGCAGAGUCAAACCAACAAUGAAUUGAUCCUACUAACAAAGCCUGAUAUAGUUUAUUCCUCUGUGCUAUAGAGCUCCAUUGUUGUCCCAUUGAGACCCCCCCCUUUUUUUUUUAAAGAUCUACAUCUUCAUUAGGAACCAAUGGUUUUUGGGAAUGAGUACCACAGACAGGGACGGACUAGUAACACAUAGUUGGUUUUGGUCUGAUGACAGUAAGAAAAAUAUAGAAUAACACCAGCCUUAUCUUUUAAGGAAGAUGCAGUUUUAACCAAAUGAGAAAGAGUUCUGUAAGUUAGGACCACUAUAUAUUUUUGAGAAUUUACCCAGUAAGACUGAUGUUUUUGUUGAAUGCAGAACAAUGUCAAAAGUAUAUAAUUCCUUAUUUUUUCUAGUUUGUUCCUUCCUGGGAUACCAGAUGAGAACUGUUUUCCUAAUGACAAUGAUUCAGAAAAUGAAAAGUUACUUACUAAUCACAAAAAACGACUCCUGAACUCACUUUUUGUUUGCUAUGUGGCAAACACUACUUGUCUGGUACUUUUUUUUGUAAACUCAGUCCAGUUGUAACAAAGCAGAGGAAAUGGAAAACGUUCACCCUCCAUCACAUGAGGGCCCUCAUGUCAGUCACCAUACCCUCCAUGUACAUUCUGCCCUCUCUCCAUCAGGAUGAUUGUUUUGAUUUGACAGCUGCAACCCGACACGCAGCGCUUCCAUACAUGGUUGGUACAUGUCGCUGUCCCUCUACAGCGGGGCAAUGGGGCUGAAAAACACAGGGAGGCUGUCUUGAGUUGUUUUUCUUCGCUUGCCUUUUAAGAGCACUCUGCAGCGCAGCUCCUCUCUGGCCCCCUAAUGCACCCGGCCCAUUUAGCAAGGCAGAGCUGUGAAACCCAAGAUCACAGGCAUGGUCGAAAACAAUUUCACCUUCUGAUUGAGCCAAUAUCCACUUUACAUUUUGAGGAGAAACAGGAAUUUGAUCUGUGUUACUGUACAUGUACAAUAUACAAGUUCUGCAUUUUGUAAUCUGUUGAAAUCAUUAAUUCCAGAGUAUUCCCUAAACUUGUAACCAGUCCAUAUAUCUGUCUGUAAAACCUCAAAAAUGUUUAUUAUUGUGCCAGAUAGCCUAUAUCCUCUCCUUGAUCUUGUAACCUCAGCUACUAAAUACACAAACUUAUUAUGAGAGAGAAAAGGAACAUUUUCUCAGCAACUGUUUCUCAGGGGUCUUUGUUUUGGAGCGAGAGUUGCCCCGAGCACAAAGAGAUGUGGCGGCUUCUGUGUGAAACCAGAUCCAGUCUGGAGUGAUGGGCAGUGCAUGGCGGAGAAUCCUGGAUGCAUUAGCCCAGGCUAAUGGGCUAGCUGGCUCCAAGAGGCCCGACUGUCCAUUAUGUGCUGCUACGGCUGGAAGAGUUUGGAGAAUCAGUGUACCGAGCUGUGAGACAACGCCAGGCCAAGCUUUCAUGUCCCAGACUGAUGUGUUCAUAGUGCCCCACCGUUUAGUUCCCAAAUAAAACAAAAGACAUACCAUUCAUCGCAUUACUUUGGUCUUGUGGAGGAUGAGAUUUGCUCUGCUUUGGGUCUUGACGUGGUCUCAGCACAUGGUCUUCUCUGCAGCUCACGUGGAUCUUUGUCACCAUUCAAACCAGGUGAACACAAGCACUAUUUUCUCUCUCUCUGCACUUUGUCCCCAUGGCAAGUGCAAUCUCAAGCCAACAGGGCUUUUUCUUACUGUCAGCCAUGGCAACAGCUUUCUGCAAGCCAUCUCCGCUGUGCUUCUCAAGGCAACACUCACUCUCCCCCUGUCAUUAUCCUGUCCAUUAGCGCUUUUUGUUGUCAUUUGGAUUCCAGGUCUUUUUUUAACAGCUGACUCCCGUGUGGCGUCCUUGAUGCUCACCACAUACUGACAAAUUAGCUACAGCACCCUGAGGUCUUUUACGAUUUGUGUAAAGAUUCACUCUCUGUACAAUGUAUUGUGAGAAUGACCAUGUGAAAUAGUCUCAAGGACUAAAAGCUAAAGAUUAUAAUUUUAAUUCUAAUAAGGAAA